rnacentral:lncRNA from 1 species
UCCUCCAGGAGAUAUUCCCAAUACAGGGACCAAGCCCAGGUCUCCUGUUGCCAUGCUCUCCUCCAGGAGAUAUUCCCAACACAGGGACCAAGCCCAGGUCUCCUGAUUAUAGGCAAAUUCUUUACCAUCUGAGCCACCAAGGAAGUCCCUGCCCCAGUCUAUCAAACACCAUAUCCUAAGUUCUCACUUCCUAUUCUGCUCUAUCUCCCAAACUUCAUCCUAAGAUCUCAGGAACAAAGACUCCAUAGAGAAGCCACGUGCGUUCUGAUUUGUGUGUGUGUUGGGGGGGAGUUUCCUUUGUUCAUGCUAUAUAAUAAGUGCCUACGAUUCUAAUGGAGCAAUGUAACUUUGGCAGUUCUAGAGCUUCAAUCAUA